rnacentral:rRNA from 1 species
GAUGAACGCUGGCGGCGUGCCUAAUACAUGCGAGUCGAGCGAACAGACGAGGAGCUUGCUCCUCUGACGUUAGCGGCGGACGGGUGAGUAACACGUGGAUAACCUACCUAUAAGACUGGGAUAACUUCGGGAAACCGGAGCUAAUACCGGAUAAUAUAUUGAACCGCAUGGUUCAAUAGUGAAAGACGGUUUUGCUGUCACUUAUAGAUGGAUCCGCGCCGCAUUAGCUAGUUGGUAAGGUAACGGCUUACCAAGGCAACGAUGCGUAGCCGACCUGAGAGGGUGAUCGGCCACACUGGAACUGAGACACGGUCCAGACUCCUACGGGAGGCAGCAGUAGGGAAUCUUCCGCAAUGGGCGAAAGCCUGAUGGAGCAACGCCGCGUGAGUGAUGAAGGUCUUCGGAUCGUAAAACUCUGUUAUUAGGGAAGAACAAAUGUGUAAGUAACUAUGCACGUCUUGACGGUACCUAAUCAGAAAGCCACGGCUAACUACGUG